rnacentral:lncRNA from 1 species
CGAUAUGUAAAUCGACUAAAAUGACGUGUAGAAUCACAUGAACCACUUUAUUUUUCUGUUUAAUAAAUAUAAAAUAUGUUAGUUCAGAUCUGCGGCCGAACCAGGUGAGUUAUAUCUUUGUCGAGUGCUUUCAUAUUUCGUCGAGUGAUCGGUUCUUCAACCGACUAACUUUAUUGUUUGUAUCUUGCACGAGUUAAUGAACAUGUACUCGCGCGUACCAAAUGGAGGAUAGCUUGAUGAUGGAGAAGAGAGCGCAAGAGGCAGCGUAGACACUGAUUAUGCUGAUGACAGGGAAGGUGCUGAUGACGACUCACACGAGAGCGAGGAAGAUGCUCAG